rnacentral:rRNA from 1 species
UACCUCAGUAACGGCGAGUGAAGCGGUAACAGCUCAAAUUUGAAAUCUGGGUCUUUCAGGCUCCGAGUUGUAAUUUGUAGAAGAUGCUUCGGGUGCGGCUCCGGUCUAAGUUCCUUGGAACAGGACGUCAUAGAGGGUGAGAAUCCCGUAUGUGAUCGGUGGCUUGCGCCCAUGUGAAGCUCUUUCGACGAGUCGAGUUGUUUGGGAAUGCAGCUCCAAAUGGGUGGUAUAUUUCAUCUAAAGCUAAAUAUUGGCCAGAGACCGAUAGCGCACAAGUAGAGUGAUCGAAAGAUGAAAAGCACUUUGGAAAGAGAGUUAAACAGUACGUGAAAUUGUUGAAAGGGAAGCGCUUGCAACCAGACUUGCGUGUUGUCGAUCAUCCGGGGUUCUCCCCGGUGCACUCGACCUCACUCAGGCCAGCAUCGGUUUCGGUGGUUGGAUAAAGGCCUUGGGAAUGUGGCUCCUCUCGGGGAGUGUUAUAGCCCUCGGUGCAAUGCAGCCUACCGGGACCGAGGACCGCGCUUCGGCUAGGAUGCUGGCGUAAUGGUUGUAAGCGACCCGUCUUGAAACACGGACCAAGGAGUCUAACAUCUAUGCGAGUGUUUGGGUGUCAAACCCAUACGCGUAAUGAAAGUGAACGGAGGUGAGAACCCUUAAGGGUGCAUCAUCGACCGAUCCUGAUGUCUUCGGAUGGAUUUGAGUAAGAGCAUAGCUGUUGGGACCCGAAAGAUGGUGAACUAUGCCUGAAUAGGGUGAAGCCAGAGGAAACUCUGGUGGAGGCUCGCAGCGGUUCUGACGUGCAAAUCGAUCGUCAAAUUUGGGUAUAGGGGCGAAAGACUAAUCGAACCAUUGGUAACCUUGCUAGGUGGUUGGGAGGGC